AAUAGAUACCCCGGUAGUCCACGCCGUAAACGUUGGGCGCUAGAUGUGGGGACCAUUCCACGGUUUCCGUGUCGCAGCUAACGCAUUAAGCGCCCCGCCUGGGGAGUACGGCCGCAAGGCUAAAACUCAAAGGAAUUGACGGGGGCCCGCACAAGCGGCGGAGCAUGCGGAUUAAUUCGAUGCAACGCGAAGAACCUUACCAAGGCUUGACAUAUACGAGAACGCUCUAGAAAUAGAGAACUCUUUGGACACUCGUAUACAGGUGGUGCAUGGUUGUCGUCAGCUCGUGUCGUGAGAUGUUGGGUUAAGUCCCGCAACGAGCGCAACCCUCGUUCUAUGUUGCCAGCGGUUCGGCCGGGAACUCAUAGGAGACUGCCGGGGUCAACUCGGAGGAAGGUGGGGAUGACGUCAAAUCAUCAUGCCCCUUAUGUCUUGGGCUUCACGCAUGCUACAAUGGCCGGUACAAAGGGCUGCAAUACCGCAAGGUGGAGCGAAUCCCGAAAAAGCCGGUCUCAGUUCGGAUUGAGGU
rnacentral:rRNA from 1 species